GGUCGAUUGGCCCAGCGGUCUAAGGCAUCUGCUUUACAAAAUUCCUGCCUAGUAGGGAAAUGUAGACGCAGAGGAUCGCAGGUUCGAUCCCUGCAUCGAUCA
rfam:Colletotrichum sublineola strain TX430BB Scaffolds0695.1, whole genome shotgun sequence.